rnacentral:tRNA from 1 species
GAUAGGAUGGCUGAAAGUUUAGGUUAUAAAUUGUAAAUUUAUAUAUGAGUUAAUACUCUUCUAUCA